rnacentral:lncRNA from 1 species
CAGGGACUGGGCCAAGCUCAGAAGCGGGGAGAAGAGCGAGACAGAGAUGCUCUGAGCAGGGGAGACAGGGAUCCCGGGCUGCUGCCGCUACCAACAAGGGGAGGAAUUCUGAGACUUUAGAGGCCGCACAGCCUUCAGCGCGCUCACCGCGUCCAGGCGUCAGUGAGGGGCUAUCUCGAGGCGCGAGUGCACAAAAGGUAGCGCGAGUCUCUUCUCAGGCGAUCCAGAUAAGAGGAAAUGAGAGCCGGGUUUUCUGACUUCCAACUCAUUAGGGACCAGGUUCUUUUUCUUCAGGAUCAGGCACAGAGACUGACUGAAUGGCUCCAAUUAUCAGGAUUUGAAAACCCAGUAUCAGAAUCUACCACUUUGUAUGGAGGAGGGGAGGAGACGAGUGGGGACCAGCUUGACAUCCAGUCUUCACCUGGACAUAUGGAAAGAACAAAUGUGCGAUCUGCUCGUUCCCUCUGAAGGUCUCUGUUACGUAUUUCCUCCUCUCCUCCAGAGCAUAAUAACCAAUGACUGCUCUCAGAAAGAACAGGCCUGAGGGAGAGGGAAAAGCGGAUACCCACCUGUGUCGCUGUUUGCGUGCCAAGUCCAGGAACAGUCCAUACAGCCCUGCUGCAUCCCACGACGCUGUCACAAAGCAGGAGUUCAUCCGAGGCCAAGAUGGAGAAACUGAGGCCCAGAAAUUGAUGUCCAGAAUGCUUUGCUCUUAGCCACUGUACUAUUAUGGCAUAUUUUAUCUUUAUGUAUUGCAUCAUUUCAUGGAUUCAAGUUUAUCAAUGUCCUUU